AAAGAAUAGAGAUAGCCCAAUUUAUAAGGAAAAUUAGGCCAAAAAUUAGGCAAACACGAUUUAUUAAGAGACAAUCAUGUAAAAAAACCACAAAGAGAGGAAAAGGAAACUAGAACAACAAUGCCGACAUUGUCGAAGCAUGACCUCCACCGCCAACAUGCCCUCAACCUGAAGAGAAGCCUGUGGGUUCUCCGGAGAUGCCCUCAAGAAGGAAACGAUACCCAUGGGCACCGUUGCCAUUGAAAUCAUCCCUUGUCAAAGUCUUAAACAUUUUUGCCUGGAGCCACCGAAAACCUCCACCCCCUCGCCUAACCUUGAGAAAAGGUCAUCCAUGAUAUAAACCACCAUGACAAGUCUAAGAACCGACCAACCUUGUUCUAGUGGAGAGGAGGAACCCUUCAACAACUGCUCGAAAAGAGAGAGCACCAACGUGUCAUUAUCGCUAGUACCCAUCGAGCCCAUUGAGAACAAUGUUUUUGUCCAGGGCCCUACGCCCCUCUACUUGCUCGAGUCCAGGGAAGGGGACUAGCCGUUGCCCGCACCGCACCUGCAAUAGCAGACCGCCCACGCCGCACACAUCGCCCCUCGAGGCGCCGAAUGGUCCACCAGUUGCUACCGCGGGAUUCCCUCACCGCCAGAGGCUAGACAAGAGGAGCAAGUCCCGUUGUCAUCAGCUCCGCCCGGGUUUCACCCGGUUGAGUGACGGCGAGCGAAGAGGCGAGGUAGAGGGGCGGGGAGGGAGGACAGAGCCGCCGCCACCCGUGUCGUCUAGGGAAGGGAGUGACGCCGACAUUUAAGAUCCAAGGUAUCAAAUCACAAAUACACAUUCCCCCAAAAAACAUAAGCAAUCCCCAAAAAUACAGGGGGUGUUUGGUUUCAGGGACUUUUUUGGGUUGGGACUAAAAAAAGUCCCUAAAAGUCCCUAGCAAACCAAACAAGGGGAACUUUUUUAGAACAUUUUACUAAAAAUCCUUAAAAGCACCUCCUUAAACGUCUUAUUCAAAAAGUCCUAGGACUGGAAAAAAGUCCUAUGACUAGAAAACCAAACACCACCACAAUCACACAACACACGCACGCCCCUCCCACUCUCGGAAUCCCCUGUUCCUCCCACAGCCAGCUCCAUCCCUUCCCUCCCACACGAGCGAGACGCGAGACAUGGCUAGGGUUUUCGUCAGCGCUGCCGCCCUCGCCGUCGCCGCCGGCCGCGCCGUCGCCCGCACGGCCUCUCGAGCGGGCAAAGGGCCUCUUCUCAUGGGCGGCGGCAUCAUCACUGCCUACGUGUACCGCGAGCACCUCCGCCGCCUGGCCCGCCGUCUCUUCGCCUCUACUCGCGGGCCACAUGGAGCUUGGUGGACCAAGGCGAGCCGCGCGGACAACAAGGGGGCGCGGAAGGUCCAGCAGGCGGCGCACCGCCGCUUCUACACAAAGAAGUUCGGGCCGGCCCCCCGCUGAAUAUCAGGCUACCGGAGAAGGGCAUAUGCAAAUGGACAUAGUAGCGGACAAAUGGGUGGUUACAAGUUGAGAUAAAUUUUGGGUUAAAAAACUUGUGGGUUUACUCGAAUCCCUGCUAUCAUCUGAUUAUCACUGAAUCUGAGACUUACGCCGUCGUCUAUUGCUGUUGAAUCAGUGGACAAAUGUGGUGACUUUGAUGACGCUGGGAUGGAAAUUUUUGCAAUAGUAAUCGAAUUAUGCCGUCAUCUAUUGCUGUUGAAA